GUAGGUGGCUUGUAAAGUGAAUAGUGAAACCUGGUGGCUCAACCAUACAGACUAUUAUUCAAACUCACAAGCUCGAGAGUAGCAGAGGUAACUUGGAAUUUCUUGUGUAGGAGUGAAAUCCGUAGAUAUAAGAAGGAACACCAAUGGCGUAGGCAGGUCACUGGGCUACUUCUGACACUGAGGCACGAAAGCGUGGGGAGCGAACCGGAUUAGAUACCCGGGUAGUCCACGCCGUAAACGAUGGAUACUAGCUGUUGGAGGUAUCGACCCCUUCAGUAGCGAAGCUAACGCGUUAAGUAUCCCGCCUGUGGAGUACGGUCGCAAGACUAAAACAUAAAGGAAUUGACGGGGACCCGCACAAGCGGUGGAUCGUGUUCUUUAAUUCGAUGAUAAACGAAGAACCUUACCAGGGUUUGACAUCCUUGGAAUUUCUGUGAAAGCAGAGAGUGCUUUACUGAGCCAAGUGACAGGUGAUGCAUGGCCGUCGUCAGCUCGUAUCGUGAGAUGUUUGGUUAAGUCCAUCAACGAGCGCAACCCUUGUGAAUAGUUGUAUUUUUCUAUUCAGACUGCCCCGGUAACGGGGAGGAAGGAGGGGAUGAUGUCAGGUCAGUAUUUCCCUUACACCCUGGGCUAGAAACACGAUACAAUGGUUAGUACAAUGCGCAGCGAAGCCNCCGAGGUGGAGCAAAUCGCAUCAAAGCUA
rnacentral:rRNA from 1 species